rnacentral:rRNA from 1 species
CAGUAGCCGCGGGAAAACGUAGGGUGCAAGCGUUAAUCGGAAUUACUGGGCGUAAAGCGUGCGCAGGCGGUUCGUUAAGACAGAUGUGAAAUCCCCGGGCUUAACCUGGGAACUGCAUUUGUGACUGGCGGGCUAGAGUAUGGCAGAGGGGGGUAGAAUUCCACGUGUAGCAGUGAAAUGCAUAGGGAUGUGGAGGAAUACCGAUGGCGAAGGCAGCCCCCUGGGCCAAUACUGACGCUCAUGCACGAAAGCGUGGGGAGCAAACAGGAUUAGAUACCCCUGUAGUCCCUGUCUCUUAUAC